rnacentral:rRNA from 1 species
UAGCACUCCGCUGGGGAGUACGGUCGCAAGACUGAAACUCAAAGGAAUUGACGGGGGCCCGCACAAGCGGUGGAGCAUGUGGUUUAUUUGAAGCAACGCGAAGAACCUUACCAGGUCUUGACAUCCUCUGACAAUCCUAGAGAUAGGACGUCCCCUUUGGGGGCAGAGUGACAGGUGGUGCAUGGUUGUCGUCAGCUCGUGUCGUGAGAUGUUGGGUUAAGUCCCGCAACGAGCGCAACCCUUGAUCUUAGUUGCCAGCAUUCAGUUGGGCACUCUAAGGUGACUGCCGGUGACAAACCGGAGGAAGGUGGGGAUGACGUCAAAUCAUCAUGCCCCUUAUGACCUGGGCUACACACGUGCUACAAUGGACAGAACAAAGGGCAGCGAAACCGCGAGGUUAAGCCAAUCCCACAAAUCUGUUCUCAGUUCGGAUCGCAGUUUGCAANUNGANUGCGUGAAGCUGGAAUCGCUAGUAAUCGCGGAUCAGCAUGCCGCGGUGAAUACGUUCCCGGGCCUUGUACACACCGCCCGUCACACCACGAGAGUUUGUAACACCCGAAGUCGGUGAGUUAACCUUUUAGUAGCCCCCCGCCCAAUUU